AGAGGGGAGCGAGUGGAGAGAUGUGGGAGAUCAUCCUAGCAAGCUGGGCCAAGCAGAAGCCCCGCCCUAUAAACAGCAGCACUCAGUCUCUGUUUAAGUUCCAACCAGAUCCAGAGCGGAACUGGCAUAACCAGAAGGGGGCACUAGAGAGCCAGGCGAGUGGUCCAGGCAAGGUUCCAGGAAGAAGAUUCAGAGAUGGAAGCUAUCCACCGGAAGUUCUCAACAGGAAUUAGGACUUCAUCAUGGCAGUUAAUGGUGCUGGGGAAAGACACGUGAUAGGGGAAGCUGAAUUCCACAGACAAACGUUGCCAGCUGCCAGCUCACCAAUGGCACGGUGCUGCUGGGCCUCCGUUCAUCCUGAGCUCUGGGAUUCCGCGUCUGCUGUUAUCACCACUUCACUACCGCAGAAUACUUAUACCCUGUGAACCAAGUGAGGAAAUAGGCCAUCAUGCAGCCAGGUGCCCAUUAUUUCCUUAAGCCACUGUGGAUGGCCUUCUGCAUAGCCAGGAGACAGUUCUUUCUUAUCUCCAGACGCUGCCUGUCACCUGCCAGGCUACACAAAGAUACCCUAAAAGAAGGAUGGCCAAGGAGCCAGAGGACAGCAGGACUGCAUCUGGCUGUCAAGAAACUCAAAGGAAACAAUUUGGACAAGAUGGAAGUUCACUUACAUAUCCUGAAAAGGACAGAGCUGCUGAUUGCCAAGGGUUAGGAGGCCAGGCUACCUCUUCUGUGUUCUUCAAUGUUAGGACUGCCCCCCAUCCCAGAGCAUCUGCAGCCAUUCUGCUGUGGACCAUGAGCUCAUCUGAUCCCCCAUUCCAAGCUGCUUUGGAUUUGACCUCGUCUUGGCCACGAGACCUUCAGUGAAAAGCUAAAUGAAUUCCUGUUCAUCCCUCAAAGCUCCUGCGAAAGAUUCACUCUCCCUGUCUUCUCAGAUGCUCCAGGAGGAUUUGAUCUCACUCACUGAGGAGUGGUCUGAACUUUUCUCAUAUGAUUAUGGUGAGUUCCGAACUAGGCC